AAAGGGAAUUCGCAAGUUACUGCUAAUAAUUUGGUGUCAUUUAGGUAUGACUCCCUUUU
rnacentral:tRNA from 1 species